CCACUACCUGAUGGGAGAGAUACCAUGCUCACUAAACUAAGGCAGUGCUCUCUAGGGCGAGGCCUACCCAUUGCACACUGGGCUUGUGAUUUCCCCAAAUGUGGGAAACUCGUUUGUACAGUUUGUGGUCGUCUAUCACAUAUGAC
rnacentral:snRNA from 1 species